GUUGUUGUUGUCAUAUCUAGUUCCUUUAAUGGCCUUUUUGAUUCCUCUUUCUCCGAUACUGGCUGCAUAACCGUCGGGGCACUGCCCAUUCCGGGGAACCAUUGUAGCAGUGGAAUUGGAUUUAAUUUCUGUGGGAUUCCACUUUCUGGAGUUACGAUUCGAGCCAUAGAUAAUGUGGGGGAGUAAUUUUUGUAGGAUAUGGUUGUGUUGGUGGCCGGCGGCGGUGAGCAGCUCGCUUUCCGUUGCCGGAGUCUCUCUUU
rnacentral:lncRNA from 1 species